rnacentral:rRNA from 1 species
UCCCGUUGAUCCUGCGGGAGAUUGCUGCUAUUGGGAUUCGAUUAAGCCAUGCAAGUUCAGGCUCCGCAAGGAACCGGCAGAAUGCUCAGUAACACGUCGAUAAUCUGCCCUUAGAUCAGGGAUAACCUUGGGAAACUGAGGAUAAUACCUGAUAGGGGAUAGGUCUGGAAUGUCCUUUCCUUUAAAGGCAACGUCUAAGGAUGAGUCGGCGGCCGAUUAGGCUGUUGGUGGGGUAACGGCCCACCAAACCAAAGAUCGGUACGGGCCAUGAGAGUGGUAGCCCGGAGAGGGACCCUGAGAUACUGGUCCCAGCCCCACGGGGUGCAGCAGGCGCGAAAACUUUACAAUGCACGAAAGUGUGAUAAGGGAAUCCCAAGUGCUCAUGCAAUGCAUGGGCUUUUGCCAAGAGCAAACAUCUUGGCGAAUAAGUGGUGGGUAAGACUGGUGCCAGCCGCCGCGGUAACACCAGCGCCACGAGUGGGGAUCGCAUUUAUUGGGCCUAAAGCGUCCGUAGCCGGCUUGGUAAAUCUCUUGUGAAAUCGUUGCGCUUAACGUAACGGCGUGCAGGAGACACUGCCUGGCUAGAGACCGGGAGGAGUCAGAGGUAUUCCGGGAGGAGCGGUAAAAUGCUAUAAUCCUCGGAGGACCACCGGUGGCGAAGGCGUCUGACUAGAACGGAUCUGACGGUGAGGGACGAAAGCCAGGGGAGCAAUCCGGAUUAGAUACCCGAGUAGUCCUGGCUGUAAACGCUGCGAGCUAGGUGUUGCGCAUUCUUCGGGAAUGCGCAGUGUCGAAGCGAAGGUGUUAAGCUCGCCGCCUGGGAAGUACGGUCGCAAGACUGAAACUUAAAGGAAUUGGCGGGGGAGCACCACAAGGGGUGCGGCGUGCGGUUCAAUCCAACUCAACGCAGAGAAUCUCACCAGAAGCGACGGCAGGAUGACAGGCAGUCUGAAGGGCUUCCUUGACGAGCCGAGAGGUAGUGCAUGGCCGUCGUCAGCUCGUGCCGUGAGGUGUCCUCUUAAGUGAGGCAACGAGCGAGACCUGUACCUACAAUUGCCAGCGACAGCUUGCUGGAUCGGGCACAUUGUGGGGACUGCCCGGGAAACCGGGAGGAAGGUGCAGGCUACGGUAGGUCUGUAUGCUCCAAUCUUCUGGGCGACACGCGCGCAACAAUGGUAGGGACAAUGGGAUACAACUCCGAAAGGAGAAGUUAAACCUCGAAACCCUAUCCAAGUCCAGAUUGAGGGUUGUAACUCACCCUCAUGACGACGGAAUCCCUAGUAAUCGGGCGUUAGCAUCGUCCGGUGAAUAUGUCCCUGCUCCUUGCACACACCGCCCGUCAAACCAACCGAGCAGGGCUUAAAUGAGUAGCAGCUUAAUUGGCUUCUCCGAAUUUAAGCUCGGUAAGGUGGGUUAAGUCGUCACAAGGUA